rnacentral:rRNA from 1 species
UUUCGCAAUGCCCGAAAGGGUGACGAAGCGACGCCGCGUGCGGGAAGAAGGCCUUCGGGUUGUAAACCGCUGUCGGGAGUUAAGAAAUGUAAGGAUGUUAAUAGCAUCUUUGCUUGACUAAGGCUCCGGAGGAAGCCACGGCUAACUCUGUGCCAGCAGCCGCGGUAAUACAGAGGCGGCAAGCGUUGUUCGGAAUUAUUGGGCGUAAAGAGCACGUAGGCGGCUAUGUAAGUCGGUUGUGAAAGCCUUCCGCUCAACGGGAGAACAGCAUCCGAUACUGCAUGGCUUGAGUGCGGGAGGGGAAAGUGGAACUUCUGGUGGAGCGGUGAAAUGCGUAGAUAUCAGAAGGAACGCCGGCGGCGAAAGCGGCUCUCUGGCCCAUAGCUGACGCUGAGUGUGCGAAAGCUAGGGGAGCAAACGGGAUUAGAUACCCCGGUAGUCCUAGCCGUAAACGAUGGGCACUAAGUAGAGGGGUUUUAAUCUC